rnacentral:rRNA from 1 species
CAAUAGCGUAUAUUUAAGUUGCUGCAGUUAAAAAGCUCGUAGUUGGAUUUCGGGUGGGAAUGGCCGGUCCGCCGUUUCGGUGUGCACUUGCUACGCCCACCUUGCUGCCGGGGACGUGCACUUGAGUUCACGCUCGGGACACGGAGUCGGCGAGGUUACUUUGAGUAAAUUAGAGUGUUCAAAGCAGGCCUACGCUCUGAAUACAUUAGCAUGGAAUAACACGAUAGGACUCUGGCCUAUCUUGUUGGUCUGUAGGACCGGAGUAAUGAUUAAGAGGGACAGUCGGGGGCAUUCGUAUUUCAUUGUCAGAGGUGAAAUUCUUGGAUUUAUGAAAGACGAACUACUGCGAAAGCAUUUGCCAAGGAUGUUUUCAUUAA